UCGGUAUUACACAGUACUACUACUUCAGAAGAACCUGGAAGCACAAGUUCAUAUAGAAAUCAAACAUUUCUUCUGAAUCACUUCAUCCAAAUAACUCCCUAACACCGAACCUUCGAGAAGAUGGUGCUGAUAGAGCAGGAGAAGACUGACGAUCCAAACGUGAAUCCACCAAACGCUACUGCCGGCAACGACGCCUCCGACGGCUUCGAAACCGCCAGUGAGGCCGAUCUCGAUAGCGACGGUGACGAUGACAGAGCAAGCAGCCGAGAAGAAUUGCAGCACAGUGAUCAACUGCAGAAGCCGCCGACGCGGACAGAGGGAGAACAGGAACAAGAUGUUCCUCAGCAAAGCAUUUCCUCCGAGGAGGCUUUAAUCAAUGAAGAUGAAUUGAGACAGAAAGCAUUGGAUGAAGCAAAUGAAGCAAAAGUAGAAGGUAACAAACUCUUUGUAGAUGGGAAGUAUGAGGAGGCAUUAUCUCAAUAUGAUCAUGCCUUACAAGUUGCACUAGACAUUCCUUCAUUUGUGGAAAUACGCUCAAUAUGCUAUGCAAACCGUGCUGUGUGCUUUUUAAAACAGGGAAAAUAUGAAAAUACAAUUAAAGAAUGCACAAAAGCAUUGGAGCUGAAUCCUGCAUAUGUUAAAGCUUUGGUAAGAAGAGGAGAAGCUCAUGAAAAGCUUGAACAUUUUGAAGAGGCAAUUGCUGAUAUGAAAAAGAUCUUAGAAAUCGAUCCCUCAAAUGAUCAAGCUAGGAAAGCCAUCCGUCGACUAGAGCCCCUUGCUGCAGUCAAACGGGAAAAAAUGAAAGAAGAAAUGAUAGCAAAAUUGAAAGAAAUGGGCAAUUCUGUCUUGGGACGUUUUGGGAUGAGCGUUGACAACUUCAAAGCAGUCAAAGAUCCAAACACUGGUUCUUAUUCUAUCUCAAUGGAACGCUAGAUUUCGUCGAGCAGGGUCAUAAUAGCAGUAAGCAAGAAAGAGACUGUUUAAAAUGAUAAUGGUUUGAGACUUUUGUUGGCAUUAAGUCAUUAGAGAAUACAAAGGUUCUUGGAAUUCUGAGUAAAUAAAGUAGAAAGGAGUUGAACAUUGUUUGAUCGAUGUCAGAGUGUAUUAGUCAUGUGGAUAUUUGCUAUGGAAGCUGAUUUUGGAAUUUGUCAAAGUUUCGUUUUAGAUAGUACUUGCACAUGCAAUUUUUAUGUAUGCCACUUCUAAUACAGUAGUGUAAUCCAUCUGUUGCUGAUAAUGGCUGGUUAUUGUAAUGUUUUCAUGUUAUGAAGCUAUUUACAAUUUGUGGUUAUCAUUGUUUGGGGAGAAUAGGGUAGAAGUCAAAUGGUUUAGAAGGAGGUUAAAUAGACUAUUCCCAAAAAUUAAUUUUCCAAAAUGUUUCUUUUUUGAAAUCAGAGUUUGAUAAAACAUUCGACGCAACAGAAAAUUGACAUUAUUGGAAAGAUCUUAUAACAAUAGAGUUCGAACACACUGAAAUUACUAAUCAAUCAAGUAGCAAUUAAGCUAUCGCUGAACGUAUACGAAAAGUAUAACUCAAAUUUAUUUAAAUGAUAAAGAUUCUGCCACAGUUUUUUAGAGUUAAUCGUCAAGAAAAUCUUUUAAGAACUUAGUCUGACACAUGU